rnacentral:rRNA from 1 species
GAUGAACGCUGGCGGCGUGCCUAAUACAUGCAAGUAGAACGCUGAAGGAAGGAGCUUGCUCUUUCCGCGUGAGUUGCGAACGGGUGAGUAACGCGUAGGUAACCUCCCUGUUAGCGGGGGAUAACUAUUGGAAACGAUAGCUAAUACCGCAUAACAUUAUAUGUUGCAUGAUAUCUUCUUAAAAGUUGCAAUUGCACCACUACCAGAUGGACCUGCGUCGUAUUAGGUAGUUGGUGAGGUAACGGCUCUCCAAGGCGACGGAACCUAGCCGACCUGAGAGGGUGGUCAGCCAAACUGGGAAGGGGACAGGGCCCAGAGGGACUAGGGAAGGAGCAAGAGGGAAACGUGAGGAAGGGGCGGAAAGCAGAGCGAGAAACGCCGAGUGAGGGAAGAAGGAUGUCGGGUGGGAAAGCACUGUUGUAAGGGAAGAAAGAGUGUGAGAGUGGAAAGUGCACAGAGUGACGGUAACUGAUCAGAAAGGAACGGCUAACUACGUG